CGGGUGUUGCUGCCGCUGCCAGAGCUCCGCAGCCGUCGCCGCCGCCGCAGCAGCAGUGGCAGCAGCAGCGGCAGCGGCAGCCGUCGCAGCCACAGGUACGGCAUCUUCGUCCGCCGCCGCGGCUUCCAAAAGGCCGCUGACGUUGGCGGGGCCGCUGCCGUCUGGGGACCCGGUCCAGACGCCACCGCCGUCACCCGUGCACCGCUGACCAGGAAUUCGGCUGUAGCUCCGGUCGCGGCUUCCGCCAGUGCUAUUGCCGCUGCCGCUGCUGCUGCCACUCCUGAUGCUGCUACUGCUUGGGCUGCUGCCACCGUACCUUCCUGACACUGUGGCGAAGGUACGACUGCCGUACAUGGCCUGGUAGUCUGCCAUCCCCAGCUCCUCGCCGCCGCUUCCGCCGUAUCCAGCGACUGCGUACAAGUCAGACCCGCUGUACGAACCACUGACGUGCACUGCGCCGUACCCGUACCUGCUAACGACAUCAGGCCGGCGUGUUGUACCUUCGCCGUUUUCAAUGUUGUCGUACAUGCUGACGGUAGCAUGUGUGCGGCCGCCAUCCGCCAGUACGCUUUCACGGUACGGCUGGAGAUCGUACGCGACGUGUCCAUGUCCGUGUGCUGUGCCCGGGGCGUCUGCGGAGUGGAGCGGAGCAGGCCACCCGUCGUACGGAGUGGUUGAAUGGCGAGGCUGGCGAGGAGCCGCG
rnacentral:lncRNA from 1 species